GUGCAACAUUUUCUCCUAGCAACAAGAGUACAUUCUGACAUAAAAAUAACGUAUGCCAGUACCCGACUUCCAGAAUGCAAAUUUCGGGUUAUUUACAAUUUAUUUAAAAAAAACAAAAAACAUCGUAGCACCAAAGGGGUAAUAAAUUAUCCUGUUGGAAAGGUAUAUUCACUGAACACUUAAUUUAGCUGGGGCAAAUUGAAAAGGAAAAACUUGCAGGCCAAACAAAC